rnacentral:misc_RNA from 1 species
CUAUACUACUUUGUCUUUCACUAUAUAAAUCAUCCUUAAUUUUAUCUUUCUUACACUUACAUCUCUUCCUCAACAUUUUGCAAAUAUGGAAUACAAAUCCCAAAAGCAGCCUAAAGGGGUCUCACCCAACAAACAAAGCAAGUUCAAAGAAAGAAGCACAGCCUCUACUUGCAGAAGCAAGUUUGUUGGGGUCAGACAAAGACCUUCUGGGAAAUGGGUAGCAGAGAUCAAAGACACUACACAGAAGAUUAGAAUGUGGCUUGGAACUUUCGACACUGCAGAGGAGGCUGCUCGAGCUUACGAUGAAGCUGCAUGCUUGCUUCGCGGUUCCAACACUCGAACCAACUUCACCACCCAUAUCCCUACAAACUCUCCUAUCUCAAUGAAAAUUAGAAAUCUCCUCAAUCACAAAAAGAGUUUGAAACAAAACUGUCCUGCAAAUUCCACCUCAAAAACCACCAUCAAAGCAAGCACUAUGGUUAGUAUCAAUAGCAGCAGCGAAAAUUUUCUAUUCAAUAGUAGUAGUGAUAGUUUUCAAUCUGGUAAUAGCAAUCUCGAUUCACUAUGCAAUG